GGUGGCUCAGUGGUAGAGCAUUUGCCUUGCAUGCAUGAGGCCCUGGGUUCGAUUCCCGAGCACCA
rfam:Dipodomys ordii contig_39431, whole genome shotgun sequence.